UUUCAGUGUUGUUCAGUGUAUUCACAGGGUUGCAGAACCAUCACUGCUGUCUUAUUUUAUUUUUUUGGCACUUUUUGGUAGAGACAGGGUUUUGCCACGUUGGCCAGGCUAGUCUCAAACUCCUGACCUCAAAUGAUCUGCCCGCCUCGGCCUCCCAAAGUGCUGGGAUUACAGGCAGCUGCUCCCAACCCCAGAACCUUUGCUGUCUUGGGACGGAUCACCACUGCAAGAGGGGAAGUUGCUACUGUGAUGAAUUCUGCCAUGUGGCACCAGACUGCCACCCAGACCACAGUGUCCUCUGCAACCCUGGUAACUCACAUACAGGCCCGAUUCCACCGACAGCAAAGCUGGAUGCUAUGGCUGGCAGAGGCAAACCCUUUGCCUGCACUUCAGGCCAAAGCCGGGAUGUGGCCUAGAUGGUUCCUAAGGUCCCUGACAAUCCUGAGAUCUUGCAUCUUGUCUAUUUCAGGUCAAAGGUGCCUACAUGCUCCUUCUAGCUUUGUUUCCCUGAUGUUCCUUGCCACCUGCUACUCCUCUCUGAGCUACUUUUCCAGGUUCCACAGGGAGAGGUUCAGCUGUCCGUGGUAGACAUGAGGGUAGAGAGUGAGGUGGUUGGGUUCCACUUACCUUUCUAUCAUCUUGCAGUAUGGAUGUCUCUUGACUGGUACCGUGUAGACUUUUGAGGGCACACAGGAGUCUGCAGAGAGAUACUGGGGACAUUGAGCAGCAGCAGUGGGGUUGGGAGGCAGAAAUGAGGACAGGAACAUUUACCUUGUGUUUCUCUCAGCUUCUCAGAUGACCAAGAUGGUGCUGCAGAUGGUGCUGAGGAUGGAGAACCCACCAAGCCC
rnacentral:misc_RNA from 1 species